CACGGUGGUGUGCCGUUGAUGGGGCGUAGUAUGUGCGUAUCGCAUGCGUUGGUGUCGGGUGGCCAUGGAGGGGCGGCGGGGUGGGUUGUCGGCGGUACCGGAGCCUCCGAGCGUUCUGGUGGCGGCGUCGCGCGGGAGGAGGGGCGCUGAAGGAGCGGGUGGAGCUCCGGAUGGACCGGGCGGCGCUGCCGCAGCUGUUCGAGGAGUUCUAGAGUGCGAUGCGGCGCGCGGAGCGGGAGCGGCGUCCCGGCGACGGGGGCGGCCGGAGGCGCGCGGAGUUCAGGAAGCUCAGGUCGGAGCCGGAGUCGGCGUUCCGGAAGGCGGAGCCGUUCAAGCAGGUCCUGCAGUUGCGGGAGGCGCGCGUGGGGCCGGGGGAGGGAGGCGGGAAGCACGAGGAGCGGAUGCCGCCGCUCCCGCAGAUGAUGAAGUAGCUCGUCAAGCAGACCGAGCGCUUUCGACCGGAGGAGGGCCGCGUGGAGGAGGGGGCGGAGGUCGCGGAGUCGCGGACCCGGCUCGACGACCCGAUGCGGCCGAGGUAGUGGUAGUUCGACCUUCUCCACUGCUUCUACCUCAGAAGUUAGUUCUACGCCGACCGCCUCCCAACACCCCUCCUCUUGCUCCGCCACUCCUGCUACGCCCCCUUCGACGACGACUUCGCAGACAGGCAACACGUCCUGCACCGCCUACGGAAGUACCGCGAUCCCCUGCACUGAUUGCCCUUUCCCAACGAGCCAUCGAGGUGCGACUGCCGCAGGCGGCCUAACGACAGCCGCGACUAGUCGUGCGUGUUCUUGACCUUAAGAACGACUUCAGGGUUCCCCGCUCCACACUCACUGCAUCCCUCUUCAUCCAUGAUGCCUCGACGUUCGUUAAGGCAGAGAACUAACUAACGGUAUAUCCGUAACCACAAAUUUAGUUGGUUGGACGACGUAUUCAAAACGUUUGGCGACAAGGUCGACCGGUUGAACCCGUAACAACCAGGGUUUACGUCUUUACGAACUCUACGCCGAAACGAGUUCUAAUAUACUUGACAAUCUUUAUCAAAGUCUAACUCUACUUUCUUGGAAUGGCGAAAGAAUGGGUCACCUAGAACUCUUGUUUUUUGAACAUCAAUCUAUCUACCGACACUUUCGUGCGGCACACGGGGUCGAGAUACAUUGUGCCAGGACCUUCCUUUUUUGUAACAACUCCACUAGUUAAAAGUCGGGUGACAACUCCGAAUUUUUGUAUAUAUAUCGACAUUUUCGUAUAAUCAUAAACGAAUAUAAAACUGUCGUUGCGCCAUCCAUAUCCUCUUUGUCAAAUGAUGGAGAGCACUACCUAACGGUAUAUAUAUCAGCAGGGACAACUUUGGACAGUUGGUCGACGUCUUAAAACCGAUAACCACCAUCACAUGCGAGAUCUCCGUCCAAUGUUCACCUGUUGACCCGCGACGACGAUUUACCAACCCUGCGCCGACACUAGUCACUCACUCGAUCUAGCACCUGACGAUAUAAUCAGAACUUAACUUAGUUACUUUCUUGUAAUGGCGAAAGGACAGAAAAAAAAAAAACUAAGUUGUAAAAACCACAACGAUUUACACGUAUGGCGUUGUACCGAGGCGACGCUGUGCUCGAACUAGGUCGAGCACCCAGCAGCCCACACGAAAGGCCAGAUCAUCUGGAACGUCAAUAAAGUUUCAAUCAUCUACAUUCUCGUUCUCGGUCUUAUACCUUACCCUAACAACCUUAGAGUAUUCAGACCAACGUAGUCUCUCAUGGACAGGGACAGACAGAGAUAAACACACGUUGUGUCGGAUCGCACUUCCUUAUCUUGUGUCCUUUCGGCGGGCUAGGGGUCCGGUGGUGCUCUGCUGCUGCUGCUACUACUACGGACCUACCCGUCCCGUCCAUGGUGGCUUAGCUUAAAACGACGGCUCAGUGCCUGUGCAGUCCGCGGCCGUGGUGAUCCGGUCCGGGUCAAGCCGGCUACGCGACGGACUAUGAGGCUUGGUUUGCUCGUCAGCCGGUCGACCCAAUGGUCGCCGCGUUCGCUUUUAUUCGUACACUUGCCGGUGCUACGGCGGCGCCGGCGCUGCGCCCGCUGAUCAGGUUCGUUUUCGUCGCGUGCGGUUGCGGUUGCGGUUGCGGUUGCCAGGUUGGUGAUCGCUCCUCAUCGCUUCGCGGCCACCUCGACCGGUUUGGGUUUGGUGGUGGUGGGGCGGGGUGAGGGUGGAUGCGCCGCUAUUUUCGGUCGGUCGGUCGGUCGGUCGCGCAGGGGUUGGGGUGGGGUGGGGUGGAGGGAGACGGCAUGGGCAUGCGCUACGAAGGAGGCGGGCGGGAGGAGGGGAGCAUUGGAGGUGGGAAGGUAAGGGCAAAGGCUCGACGAGCGGAGGGGAGGGGAGGGGAGGGGCGAGUCGGCUCGGAGGGGUUAAGGGCAGUGGCGGCGGAAGAGACUGGGCCAGCAUAAAUAUGUCCGGGUAAGUUUUAGGUGCGGCGUUUUAUAAUAGGUGUUUAGGUAGGCCCCAAUCCCACGACGGUCGACUCCGACGACGAGACGAAGUGACGAGAAGGGACCACUGAAGGCCGGAGCCGAGAGCGCACCAUCCAUACCCGUGCCCUCUCCCGUCCCCGGCCGCCGCCGCCUUCGAGCUCCCCCUGCUGUCGCUGCUCCUCAUACACAACCUCCUUCUCCUCCUCCUCCUCCUCCAGCUGCUCGACCUCAUGCCGGUGCCUCCCUCUCUGCGGCGCAGGAGAUCACGGCCCCUCCUCCCUCCGCCGAGCCUGCGCCUCAUGCUCCACCUGCUGCUCCUGCUCCUCCUUCUCUGCGGCGCAGGUUUCGCCGACCACUUCUCCUUCCGCUUAGGCCGAGGGCGAGCCAGAGCGGCCGCGUCCAUACUUCUGCUGCUGCUAAUGAGCCUCCUCGAGCUCCUUCUACUCCUCUAACCGCUGAUGGUCCUUCUAGAGCUGCUCCUUCUCCUCGGCGCUGCCAGGUUGACACUCUGCUUUACACCACCGGCGUCGGUCUUUCGCUUUUACGGAGGCCACCGAGUCGCUAGAUUAGCCGGCUCCGUACGCCUCCUCCUCCUGUACCUGAAACUAGGACUGAACCUGCUCCCCCGUCCCCUGCUCCUGUGUCUAAAGCUGGGACUAAACCUCCCACUGCUACUACUAAAACUCCUGCUGCUUCUCCUGCCUGAGCCACAGUCGGUGUGGUUUUGCUAUGGCUCCGAAUUCUUAUGUGGGCGAAGCUUCGUCGCUGCUCCCUUCUUCUCCUCCUUAUCAUUAUGAUCAUUCCAAAGUUUCGCCUUCCAAGCCUUCGGACGCGGACAUUCCGCUGCUUCUUUCGCUAGACAGUAGCUCGUGAUGCUCCUACUACUGCUGCUGAAGUAGCACCUCCUACUUGUCCAGUUCCAUUUGGCAUUAAGUUCCUUCUUCCGGUCCAAACCCUCCGUCCACCGCCAUCUGGCCGGUCACGGUCAACGGCUCCGUCUAUAUACCGGUCGAUAACUAAGUCUGAGUAGUCUUAAACUCAAACCUUGUAGACUUCUGCUUGGACUCCCACUCGGUCACUCUCGACGUCAAUCCUUCCCCUCCUUUUCCUCCCCCCAUAGCCCCAGUAGGAGUCUAAGACUUAAGGUACAGAGCCUAUUCCUUAACUCGCUACAGUCUCUUCUCCAAUUCUGCUUCUUUUCCCAGCAGAACGUCAGUAGGUGUCUAAGACUUAAGGUACAGAGCCUAUUCCUUAACUCGCUACAGUCUCUUCUUCUCCAAUUCUGCUUCUUUUCCCAUGCGCAGAACGUCAGUAGGAGUCUAAGUCUUAAGGUAUAUAGUCUAUUCCUUAAUUCGCUACAGUCUCUUCUUCUUCAAUUCUCCUUCUUUUCCUGUACACAGAACGUCAGUAGGAGUCUCAGACUUAAGGUACGGAGUCUGUUCCUUAACCCACUAUUGUCCUAUCUUCUCCGGUCCUCCUUCUUCUCCAAUGAGCAGAGCGUUAGUAGGAGUCUAAGACUUAAGGUACAGAGUCUAUUCCUACAGUCCCUGAACCCUCUCCGAUUUAGAGACCACCGAGUCGGGUACGACAGACACAGUGGCUCCUCCGAAAGAAAAUGUUCCUUACCUACCCUGUUUCCUUUCCUCUUUUUUCUUGAUCAUCUACGACCCUUCGGGACCACACCCUAUACGGAGAGACUCCUAGUCUCCUGCUGAGAUGUCCCUCACGACUUAACAACGAGUGUGAUGAAAACGAAACGCACGUAGUACCUCACCAGAUUCCAGCUCAGUUCCACAGGUAACACAUUCUCCGCCAAGUGGUGCUAAUGGUUCAGUAGUUUUCACCUAGAACUAAACCUCGACUUUUUCAGACAUUAAUUCCAACUUCUCGCACUAGUCCAAAUAGUCGGUUGCCUUCUUCUUUAUUCCGCGACCAAUCUGGGUAUGCUCUUAGAAUACACGUAUCUCACGUUAGUUCCACCACUUCUAUCAGAUUACAAUAAUACACUAUAAACACUAAGGAGCCGUGUAUGAAUAACACAGCCGGACCCUUCUCUUCAUGGACUUCCUUUAACCAUAACACCUCCUACAUCUGAGUCACCACUCCCUAGUUGCGUAGGAUCUUCGGAAUGAUUGUCGUUAAGACGGGUCAAUCCGUGCUGACGUGGGUAAUCGUGUAAGCCUUCCAGUGGCAGUUAGUUGUGAACCGUUUGAAAAGUUCCCAAACUAGAUUUACAUAGCGGAUCCCUCUAAGGAUCCGUUUUGUAAGUACGGCUAAGUGCUCGAAGUUGAAACCCACAUAGUUGAGGUUGACCUUCCGAACGUUGAGAAAGAUCUUCUGCACCUACCUAGGCGCGAAACGAUCUAUCUGUUUCCGUAGACUAAUCAGUUCUGUGACCUGUACUACCACAUGUCGUGUCACCGAUACGAGGCUCUCGGCUGGGUCUGGUGUCCUUGAAGACACGAAGUAGUCUUAGGUUGAGAAACGUCGUGUUACUAAUAAACGGUUCUUAACUUGGUUUAGCGUCCUUGAAGAGAUCAGGAACCCUUCGUUUGUCAAGUGUUAGAGACGAACUACUGUAAGCCCUGGUCGUACCAACGAAAAGAAGACAAGUUCGAGUCUCUUUGAGAUGAGGUACGGAAAAACGUCUACCUUUGUUAAAGGUUGUUCGUCUUUCACAGUUGUCGUUAUAGUUCGUGUACACGUCAUAUUCAGGAGCAAUCUUACAGUAAGAUAAGACAACCACCGCACAACCUAGCUGGUAUUCAUCGUUCCUGUACGCGAAGAAUGGUGUGAAAUUAUAGGACGGUCAUUGACACUAUUACGAGAUGCGACCGUGGCUCAUAGAGUGACUUAUAUCGACCGGUAACACGAAGUUGAGUAGGAUACACCAGUUACUGUCUUGUUACUUGUACAAGAGUAAUUGGAAAAUACAAUCGAAUCCGUAAAAAAAGAAAACGAUAACGGUAAGUAAGUCAGGAUUUGUGCUGGUGCUUCAAGUCGUUACUGGUUCUACGCCAGUUCUAUAAAGACUAAAAAACCUGCCGUAGUAUACACAUAUGUAACAUCAUAACCCUUUCGGUCAAGGUAGACUACUAGUAAGUUGAACUGUAGGACAGCAGAGUACAUUACUAGACACAUAACGUGACAACAAGUCAUAGGUACGAAAGCAGGUGC
rnacentral:rRNA from 1 species